UACUGGGCGUAAAGCGCAUGCAGGUGGUUUGUUAAGUCAGAUGUGAAAGCCCGGGGCUCAACCUCGGAAUUGCAUUUGAAACUGGCAGACUAGAGUACUGUAGAGGGGGGUAGAAUUUCAGGUGUAGCGGUGAAAUGCGUAGAGAUCUGAAGGAAUACCGGUGGCGAAGGCGGCCCCCUGGACAGAUACUGACACUCAGAUGCGAAAGCGUGGGGAGCAAACAGGAUUAGA
rnacentral:rRNA from 1 species